rnacentral:lncRNA from 1 species
CACUUUUAUUCGUUCCCUGGGGAUGUUGCUGGCUGUCGAUGGGGGAUGUGGCCAUGGGGCUGAGGCUCAUUCUGGGAAGGAUCUGGAUGCACUGUAGACACUAAGCCUGUCCUUUUGUCGUGCCAGGCAAUGUGGUGAGUUCCCCAGCAAGUCCACCACCCCCAGGUGAGAGAUUCCCUCCUAUACCCCCAGAAACCCAAGCAUGGGGAGUGGGCGUGCUGUGCUGCCUUCCCCAGGGCAUGGGGACAAGCAGGAGCUUUACAGGGCAGGAGCUGUGCCAGCUGCACGGGUGUGUCCUGCUCCCUGCCUCUCCCCAUCACACCCCGCUGCCCUCACACCCUCUGUCCCCCAGAUCCACAUGCAUGGAUCCCGCACGCUCUCCCCACAAGCACGGUGCUGGCAGUGGCGGCCGUCGGCCUAGUCCUCCUGUCUACAGGCAGCUGGUUUGCCAUCAGGAAAGGUGCCUGCAGAGGGAGAUGCCCAAGGCAGCAGCACGUUGACAGCCCACAGAUGGAAACCACAGACCAUGGCGAAGUCACAUACUCCACCAUCGCCCACGUUCGACGGGACAGGGUGAGUCGUGGCACAGCUGCUGCACAGCUCCUUUCUGC